rnacentral:rRNA from 1 species
GAUGAACGCUGGCGGCGUGCCUAAUACAUGCAAGUCGAGCGAACGGACGAGAAGCUUGCUUCUCUGAUGUUAGCGGCGGACGGGUGAGUAACACGUGGAAACCUCCCUUUAAAGACUGGGAAAAUUUGGGAAAACGGGCGCAAAUCCGGGAUAAUCUUUUGAACCGUAUGGUUCAAAGGUAAAAGACGGCCUUGCGGUAAUUAAUAGCUGGUUCCGCGCUGCUUUGGCUGGUUGUUAAGUAACAGGCUUACCACGGCAAGGAGGCAUAGCCGACCUGCGAGGGGGAUCGGCCACAUUGGAGCGGGGACACGGUCCAGACUCCUACGGGAGGCAGCAGUAGGGAAUCUUCCGCAAUGGGCGAAAGCCUGACGGAGCAGCGCCGCGUGAGUGAUGAAGGUCUUCGGAUCGUAAAACUCUGUUAUUAGUGAAGAACAUAUGUGUAAGGAACUGUGCACAUCUUGACGGUACCUAAUCAGAAAGCCACGGCUAACUACGUG